AAAAAACCGCCAAUCAUACAUAUUAUUAAAUACAUAUGAAGUAUUGAAAUGCUGUACCAGCACAGUAGCAAUAUGUGCUCCAGAGAUAGCUAUAUGGCAAACUCCAUAUCAAAUUUGCAAACACGCAUUAUUUAUGGAAAAUGAAACGAUUGUUGCACAUUUAUGCGAUAAGAAAAUUAUUUCUACUCAUUCUCUGGUAUUCAAGACGAUUAGAUGAAAAUGGAACAUGGAUAUAUUCUACCUCAAAACCCUUAAGUCUAGAGAUCGAGUGCCCGCAAUUAGUGAACUCCUCAGAACAGACCGAAAUUGUCAAACUAAUAGGCACUAAUAUAAACUCUUUGCAAGAAAUAAUGCUUGCACGAGAUAUUUACCGGGAAUUAAAUUAACUGCACAUUUCCAAUCAUGAUCGACAUUGAAACAUUAAAGACUCCUCUAAUAUUUUCUUUCAUUGGUGACAUAUUGAAUAGCACUGAGAUAAAACUAAAUCAACUUUAUAAUAAUUAUACUAAACAGAAUACCGACACACAUUACUAUGCAACUGAUCUGACACUUGAUCUAGCAGAAAAUACUUUGCAAAAUAUUCAAUCGGAAUUAGACAAAUUAAAACGCUCAUCCUUUGAUGAGGCAUAAAUAUAAC
rnacentral:lncRNA from 1 species